rnacentral:rRNA from 1 species
GACGUAGGGCGCGAGCGUUGUCCGGAUUUAUUGGGCGUAAAGAGCUCGUAGGCGGUGUGUCACGUCGGCCGUGAAAACCUGCAGCUUAACUGUGGGCGUGCGGUCGAUACGGGCAUCACUGGAGUUCGGCAGGGGAGACUGGAAUUCCUGGUGUAGCGGUGAAAUGCGCAGAUAUCAGGAGGAACACCGGUGGCGAAGGCGGGUCUCUGGGCCGAUACUGACGCUGAGGAGCGAAAGCGUGGGGAGCAAGCAGG